UACGAAGGGGGCUAGCGUUGCUCGGAAUCACUGGGCGUAAAGGGUGCGUAGGCGGGUCUUUUAAGUCAGGGGUGAAAUCCUGGAGCUCAACUCCAGAACUGCCUUUGAUACUGGGGAUCUCGAGUCCGGGAGAGGUGAGUGGAACUGCGAGUGUAGAGGUGAAAUUCGUAGAUAUUCGCAAGAACACCAGUGGCGAAGGCGGCUAACUGGUCCGGUUCUGACGCUGAGAUGCGAAAGCGUGGGGAGCAAACAGG
rnacentral:rRNA from 1 species